rnacentral:tRNA from 1 species
GGAACUAUAGCUCAAAGGUGGAGCACUCGGCUGUUAACCGAUAGGUUGUAGGUUCGAAUCCUACUAGUUCCGCCA